rnacentral:pre_miRNA from 1 species
GAAGACUGCAUCACAACCUUUGAACAUUAGCACAAGAUGAUGUUCAAAUGUUGUGAUGCAGUCUUCAUCUUGUGCUGAUGUUACAAAUGUUGUGAUGCAGUCUUCAUCUUGUGCU